CAAGAGCACUGGUGUAAAAUACAACCCCUGGCAAAAACCAUGGAAUCACCAGCCCCGGAGGAUGCCCACCCAGCUGUCCAACCCUGUAGAAAAAAGCAGAUCACAGACACGACACAAAACAAAAAUCAGUUCAAAUGGAAAAUGUUUGCAGGCAAGA